rnacentral:rRNA from 1 species
UAAGGGAUAUUGCGACAAUGGGCGAAAGCCUGACGCAGCAACGCCGCGUGCGGGAGGAAGGCCUUCGGGUUGUAAACCGCUUUUGAGGGGAAGAGGAAGGACGGUACCCUUCGAAUAAGUCUCGGCUAACUACGUGCCAGCAGCCGCGGUAAAACGUAGGAGGCGAGCGUUAUCCGGAUUUACUGGGUGUAAAGCGCGUGUAGGCGGCAGUGCAAGUUGUCUGUGAAAGCGCCCGGCUCAACCGGGCGAGGACGGGCAAGACUGCGCAGCUAGAGGCAGGUAGAGGUGUGUGGAAUUCCGGGUGUAGUGGUGAAAUGCGUAGAGAUCCGGAGGAACACCAGUGGCGAAGGCGACACACUGGGCCUGACCUGACGCUCAGACGCGAAAGCAUGGGGAGCAAACGGGAUUAGAUACCCGAGUAG